AAACUCAGAACUUCGUGACUGUAGGGUCUGUGUUAAGAGACAUUUGAGUCACAGCUGGGUAUUGUAGGGGUCGUCCCUGACAUGGUCGCACUAUGUUCUCAGUAGUUUCUUUUGUCUCUGAGAACUUUAGAGACGAUGUCCACUCCUUUUCUUCUCCCCAAAGACGUUCUUGAAUGAACGCUUUGACCCUGUUUUAUCAACCAAGGAUCACUGGGUGUACUUUUGCCAGUGUCAUGGAUUAAAAACAAAUACGGCAAGGGAUGCGACCCUCCAGGCGAAAACACAAUACGGGUUUAUGCUUUGUUUCCUUAAGAACACGCAACAAUUUAGACCUGCUCCUGAUGUCCUGUCGGACAAGCCAAAUGACUCUGUCUCCUUUCGUUUCUGUUUUCCCCUUACACCCUUGGCCUGUCACUUGUCGUAGUCAGAGAAUGUGCACAUGAGAGUGUGUGUCCUGGCUCGCAUGAGAAUGGUGAGGUAGGAACCCGCAUGCAGCUAUUCCCCUUUCUCUCUCCGCCCUCAUCUCCGAUUUCUAAUUAAGCCAGUUCCACCUUCUCAACCUGCUGCAGCCGGCCUUGGGACUGCACUUCUUUAACACACACCCGAGGACACUAAAAUUUAAAAUAAGCUGUACAGCGAGAUAGUCCUUAGAAACCUUGUGGAUGAACUUGAACUAUGCUAAUAUUAAAAACUAGAAAAGGAAAAAGUUAGAGGUAAGUCUUAUACCUGUGGACGUGGGCGGGGGUACCAAAUCACUGGCAUCGGCACACUCCAACAAUGUGUUUGGAUGAGGAAUAAGUAAUUGUGCCCCUUGGAAGAGGCUGUUUUAAAGGGAAAUGCGUCGUUUACAUUAAAUGUGUUUUAGAAGUGCUGUUCCACUACUCGCUGUAGCUGUGGGCGUGCUCUCUGCUUCUACUUGAAACUUACCAAGGUGAUGUUUGAUGUGUGUUUUUAAUCAUCAUUCCCUUAAGUAUUCUGUUUAAAUAAUUGAACAGUCAGCAACGCGCAUGGCUUUGGAGGAGCUAAAGACAUGUGAGACAGCACUCGUGUCCUAGAGAAGCUUUAAAAAAAAAAAAACUAAUGAAGAAAGAGCGUGCCCAACAGCACACAAAGCAGUGAACAUCGUGAGAGCAGCAGCGAGUCACUGGGGGCUGGGGGCGUGACAGAGGAGGAGGGACUGCUCAGAAGCAAAGGGCCCAUUAUCAAUUUCCUCCUGUUCCCCCAGAUUGCACUCACUGUGCUCACCAGCUAACAGGGAUAUGUUGCAUGUAUUUGCUUCUUGGAAAUUUGCAGAUUCCCUCUAAAACGUCUUUGGUGACAUCGACUUGCUCCUUUAAGCUUGUUCUUCUUCAUUAACCCUGGACUAUUUAUUUCCUAUGGCUCAAUGGACAGAAAGCGUAACUGAUUAAUGUGGGAUGUAAUUAGUAAUACACUGGGUGCUAACAAAUGUGUAUAAGGUUUCCAAAUUCUCCACUUCUUUAAAUAUGAAUGUUCAGAAUGUCAAAUGUUUACAUUCAUUGAUGUAACAGUGUUUUUGUUUUGUUUUGUUUCUGUCACUGUGAUAAAAUACUAUGACC
rnacentral:lncRNA from 1 species